GAAUUUAGCCCAUUAUGAGGAGAAGGCACGCCCGAUCUCGUCUGAUCUCGGAAGCUAAGCAGGGUCGGGCCUGGUUAGUACUUGGAUGGGUGACCCCCUGGGAAUACCAGGUGCUGUAAGCA
ensembl:rRNA 5S_rRNA 5S ribosomal RNA